rnacentral:RNase_P_RNA from 4 species
AAAGUAGACGAGGUGAUCGCCGGUUAUAAUGAAUCUUCGGAUUUAUUAUUGGACGGGAGGAAAGUCCGAGCUCCAUAGGGCGCAGUGCUCCGUAACGCGGAGUCCCGGCGACGGGAAGGAAAGUGCAACAGAAAAUAUACCGUCUCAUCUUUUUUUCGAUGGGAUAAGGGUGAAAUGGCGGGGCCGAAAGGCUUAAUGUAAGAGCCCACCGCUCCGGCGGCGACGUUGGAGGCAUGGCAAACCCCACUGGGAGAAAGGCCAAAUAGGGAGGGAUGAAGCUGCCCGCUUCGCUAUACCUUCGGGUAGGCCGUUAGAUCUCGCUGGCAACAACGAGGCUAGAUGAAUGAUCACCCACGACAAGACUCGGCUUAUUGUCUACUUUUACC